UACGUAGGGGGCAAGCGUUGUCCGGAAUCAUUGGGCGUAAAGCGCGUGUAGGCGGUCCGGUAAGUCCGCUGUGAAAGUCGGGGGCUCAACCCUCGGAUGCCGGUGGAUACUGUCGGGCUUGAGUACGGAAGAGGCGAGUGGAAUUCUCGGUGUAGCGGUGAAAUGCGCAGAUAUCGGGAGGAACACCUAUGGCGAAGGCAGCUCGCUGGGACGUUACUGACGCUGAGACGCGAAGGCGUGGGGAGCAAACAGG
rnacentral:rRNA from 1 species